rnacentral:misc_RNA from 1 species
AAAAAACUUUUAUCUCCCAACCUUCCGAUGGCUGCCAUAACACUUAAAAUGUUAAUGCAUGAUUCCUCAUAAAUAAUAUGGCGACCUCCCUAGCAGUCACAGCCCAGCAUUAUUUGGAAUGUGGCACUGAAGACUGUCAGAAGAACUGCCAGUUUUACUGCAAUUCUUGCCACAAACAAUUGUGUGAACAAUGCAGAGACAAACAUCAGAAGAGUCCUGAUACCAAGAACCAUGAAUGGUCCCCUUCCUACAGCACAAACGUCAUCUUCCUGUGGACAAAUGCAAGCUCCAUCCAACUCGUAAUGCAGAUAUUCUAUGCAAUGAGUGCAACAUUCCUCUAUGUUCAAAGUGCACAACCAUGGAAGAACACUUCGGCCAUAAGUUUGUUGAUAUGGAGGACACUGAUGCAGAAAAAUUGGCAUUUUGUUUAGAAGAAAUCUCAAAAAUCCAAGAAUAUUUCCUUCCAACAUCAAAAGGAUUGAAAACAGAGACAGAUGAAGAUGGCAAAGAAGUAAAGAAAACCAUGGAUGGUAUCAGAAACUCCAUAAAGGCUGAAGCCAAGUCUCUGAAAGACCUGGUAGAUAAGGUGACAUCUGACAAAUUGGAACAAGCCAAUACCAUAGAAAAGUCAUUACUUAAAGUGUUAAAACAACAAGAGAAAACAUACGAUGAUUACAAUAAGUACCUUGAAAAACUUCUAAAAGAGUUUCAUGACUACCUCCCUUUAAGCAAUUUCAAAGUUUUAUUAUCUGCAAAAUUGGAAAAUUCAAAAAUCCAAUUUAUACCCGAGACAACUAAACCUGUCCCACCAGUGUUUACUGCUGGUCAAUUCACCUAUGAUGAUGUUAGCAAGUUACAUGGAAAUAUAGGUGUCCCAAACAUUAAACCUGAUAAAAGGAAAAUAAAACCCAUGGCUACUUCAUUAACACAGUUGAAACCUACAGAGAAAGAGAUGAAGCAAGACAGAGAGAAAUCUGACGUGAAACAAACACUGUCUCUGUCUGCCUCUGUCACCAAGGUCAGGGAGUACACAGUACCAGGUGUUGACAGGGUAUAUCAUAUAUCACUUGGAAAAUCAGGCAGACUCUGGGCCAGUGAUGAAUAUGGUAACCUUGUCCAUACAGACCUACAGGGGGAUCAGCUACAGAAAAUACGAACCAGUGGUACAGAUGAAGGCUACCACACAGUCACACAGGACGGGGAUCUGAUCUAUACAGACAGAAAGAACAAAGUCAUCAAUAGGAUACAACAGGAUAAUACAGUCACUGAAUUCAUUAAAACAGGAAACUGGAAACCAAUCAGUAUACAUUCCUCCCACAUCAAUGGGGACAUACUGGUGGGGAUGGUAAAGGGUGGAGAGGCUAAAGUCACCAGGUACAACAAGGCAGGAGAAGAAAUACAGAACAUACAGAGGGACAACAAAGGACAGGCACUGUAUAAUGAUCCACACUACAUCACAGAAAACAUCAAUGGUGAUAUCUGUACAUCAGACUAUAGCAAACAUGCUGUAGUGGUAGUAAAUAAAUCAGGACAACACAGGUUCUCCUACACAGGUCAGGGGUCAAUGUUUGUUCCCUAUGGUAUCUGUACUGAUCUACUAGGUCACAUCAUUGUUUGUGACAGUUUUCACAUGAAUAACAAAGUUCACAUCCUUAAUCAGGAUGGUCAUUUCUUGUCUCUACUACUCACACCACAACAAGGUAUAAACAAUCCCUGUUGUCUGUGUGUGGAUGAUGAGAACAAUCUCCAUGUAGGACAAUAUAACACCAACACAGUGACAGUGUACAAGUAUCUACAGUGAUUCUCUCUAUAUAUGUCAAACAUAUCAGACAUCAAAUCUGAAUAAUGUAAUCUUUCUAGUAUAAAAAUACAUCAUGUAAAUGAGCGUAUUCUCUUAUUCUGUAAAUUCUAAAAUCUUUCAGACCAUAUUGUAUUCCAGUAUCAUAAAUGUAUACUUUGUUUUUGUUUAUUUUUUUUUAAUGCAACAAUUUUUUGGUACAUGUACAGUACCUCUAUAAUGUACAUAUUCUACGAAAAAAUAUUUUUAGUUUUGAAAAUAAACAAAGAAUUCUU